rnacentral:snRNA from 1 species
GUGGUCACUUCAGCAGCACAUAUGCUAAAAUUGGAACGAUACAGAGAUCAGCAUGGCCCCUGCACAAGGAUGACACACAAAUUCGUGAAGUGUUCCGUAUUUUU